UGGGGAAUAUUGCACAAUGGGCGCAAGCCUGAUGCAGCGACGCCGCGUGAGGGAUGGAGGCCUUCGGGUUGUAAACCUCUUUCGCCAGUGAAGCAGGCCAUCUUCUUUGUGGGGUGGUUGACGGUAGCUGGAUAAGAAGCGCCGGCUAACUACGUGCCAGCAGCCGCGGUACUACGUAGGGCGCGAGCGUUGUCCGGAAUUAUUGGGCGUAAAGAGCUCGUAGGCGGCUGGUCGCGUCUGUCGUGAAAUCCCCUGGCUUAACUGGGGGCUUGCGGUGGGUACGGGCCGGCUUGAGUGCGGUAGGGGAGACUGGAAUUCCUGGUGUAGCGGUGGAAUGCGCAGAUAUCAGGAGGAACACCGGUGGCGAAGGCGGGGCUCUGGGCCGUUACUGACGCUGAGGAGCGAAAGCGUGGGGAGCGAACAGG
rnacentral:rRNA from 1 species